rnacentral:misc_RNA from 1 species
AAAAAGAAAAAAAAAAGAAAGAAACAGAUAGCAUCAUAUGUCAAAUAUCUGUAGGCAUGAAGAAAACGCACCCUCCAGAUGUAUCAAUUAUUUCCUGCAAACGAGAAAACCAGAAUUAGUUCACCAAUGACAAAUUCAAUAUGUGUAUAUUCAGGUACAUAUACAUAUUAUUUAAGUGUUUGUGAGAUCCAAGUGUAUGACAAAAAUCAAAUUCAAGAGGAAAUAUUAAGAAUUCACGAAGGAACAACUAUUUCCCUCACAUAAUCAUCACUUACAUGGAGGUACAUAAAUGAAAUUCACUUUAUCAACUUAAUGGCUAGCCAAUUGACCAGAAUAAUCCAAACCUUUUCUACCAUUAUAAAUUUUAGCUAUUCCUUUCAAUAUUAAUCCAAACCUUUUACAUUGACAUCAGUUUUAGCAAUCAUACUCAAAUUAGUAAUAUUUUUUUUUUUUCGAAUACUGAAUCAAACCUUUACCACAAGCAAUUAGUGUUUCCUUUAAAAUAUUUAGCAUAAUACGUGCCAAUAUCCAAAAAUGAAUUCUACCAGGAUGCAUAGAGAUAGAUGCUUUAGGGCAAAAUAGCUUAAGUCCUCUUUCCUAUUUUAGUUCUCCAAAAAUGAAUAAGAUGCUCAAAUUCUAAGGUGGAAAUAAUUUGUCAUGCUAUUCAAAAAGUAUAGGUUCAAUAAAGGUUUAAAAUUGCAUUUCCCUGAGGUAUAUGAAAAAAAUUCAAAUAUUCUUUCAUCAGGUUGCGCCAAACAGAUAUGGCCAAUGCUUGGCAAGAUGAUCGAAAUCUACACAGAGAUGCAAUUCACCAAAUAUUUCAAAUUUUUUAAUAUUAAUAAUCCCAAAUUAGUUUUAUUACUGUCAAUACUCUCUACCCAAAUUCUCUCUUAUUUGCUACUUCAAAAUCAUAGAGGUUUGAACACCAACGUCAUUAAUUUUAGAGGCUCAACAAAGAAAAUUCUUUGAUGUAGAAAAUGUGCUUCCAAUUUAUCAACCUCAAUCCGAAAAUUAUCAACUACACGCCUCAGCACCAUGAGCUUCCCUUAAGACCUGCAUUUUCAUUCCCCAAGACUGCAGACCAUGUAAAGAACCUUCCUUCCUCUACGUCCAAUGCAAUAAAUUUGCUAACAAAUGCUUUCUGUCCUACCCUUGCAGUUCAAGAGAAGUUUCAAAAUUUUUUUAAUUGUUCUAUACAAAUCAAGAGUUCUAGUUUCACAAACCAAAUGAGAGACAAACUAAAGAAGGAAAUUAACUUUGUCCUCUAGUUUACAUCACCACAUAACAGUAGAAAUAACCCAAUAGAAAUUGAAGUUGUUAAUUAAAGUUUAGGCUGUGAUAUAUCAAAAGCAAAAGAAUCUAACAUGUAGAUGCUAGCUGAAAGUGUCUACCGAGAUCAUAAUUACCAAAAGCAAAUCACAGUUCCAUGAAGUAAAUAUGAGAACAAGAAGAACUCCAGAUCAAAGACUAAUAUGAAGAAUGAAAGAGACCUAACCUAAGUAUCUUGCAACCAAAUGAUGUAGCAAUAAAUGGUUAAUAAUCAGCACAUAACAUCUAUAUACCAUCCAACUAGUCAAGUUAGAACUCCUUUUCACUAAUUCCGCUGGUUUAUGCAUAGAAAGACCUGACCAUCCAGAAAAGUGAACUUUCUAUGGAGUAAAGGUAUGCAAAAUACAUUUUUUAGUUAAUUUACCUCACUCUGCACCCUUCAAAGCUUUUUAAGAAAGUUUUAACAGAAAAUUUAGGCACUUAUCUCAUAGAGACUAUGAACCUAUGUUUCCAUAAACUCUUAUCUCAUUUAAGGCAUCUCAAGCCCGUGUUUCCAAACACCAAAAUAAUAUAAAAGUCAUGUCAUGAUCUUGCUCAUAUUGAAAAACUUUUCCUUUUUCAUUUUUUUCAGAUGAGGGAGAUCUAGAUGACAAGAAAAUGAAAUGAAUUCGAAAUUGAUGCAAGGCUCACUUAACACACACAUACACAAAAAAGGCAGUGCAUGCACAGACACACAUGUUCCCUCAAGCAUGCCCAAGGAAAAAGAGCAAGAGCCAGAACAGUCAACCAACAAUAGUAUUAAAGAAUUUGGUAAAGUUAACGAUCAUUAAGACCUCUACUUCCAAGUUCUGGUACUUAAACUACAUAGAAGACAGCAACAAUCCCAAGACUGCAAUCUGACAAUUAACUAUUUCCAUUAAAGAUCCUAAUUUGCUACCUCACAUUUCAAAUUCCCACCUUUUUCUUACCCCACCUAACUAAAAUCAAUAUCCAGUGAUAAAAUCUUUCAGUUUCUGCAAUAGGGUUGAUUCUAAAAACCAAAGUUGCAACUAAUUGAUUGUAAGAUGGGGCAAAACAAAAUUGAUAUCAAAACAAACUACAAACCAAAGAAUUAGCAAAACAAGAACUGAAUCCAACUAUUUAAUUGAAUGAAUAGAAAUAGAAAUAAAAAGCUUACAAGAUGUGAAGGAUUCAAUUUUGAUUUCAAAGUAGAUUCAACUUGUUCCUUUGUCACUCCCAUACUUCUCUCUCUGGCGUCCCAGCGUUUGCUUCCUGGCAAUUC